rnacentral:rRNA from 1 species
AGCGAACGCUGGCGGCAUGCUUAACACAUGCAAGUCGCACGGAUCUUUCGGGAUCAGUGGCGGACGGGUGAGUAACGCGUAGGGAUCUAUCCAUGGGUGGGGGACAACUCCGGGAAACUGGAGCUAAUACCGCAUGAUACCUGAGGGUCAAAGGCGCAAGUCGCCUGUGGAGGAACCUGCGUUCGAUUAGCUAGUUGGUGGGGUAAGGCCUACCAAGGCGAUGAUCGAUAGCUGGUUUGAGAGGAUGAUCAGCCACACUGGGACUGGGACACGGCCCAGACUCCUACGGGAGGCAGCAGUGGGGAAUAUUGGACAAUGGGCGAAAGCCUGAUCCAGCAAUGCCGCGUGUGUGAAGAAGGUCUUCGGAUUGUAAAGCACUUUCGACGGGGACGAUGAGGACGGUACCCGUAGAAGAAGCCCCGGCUAACUUCGU